rnacentral:tRNA from 1 species
GCCAAUGUAGCUCAGUUGGUAGAGCACCCCCAUGGUAAGGGGGAGGUCAUCGGUUCAAUCCCGAUCAUUGGCUCCA